CAAUGAGUGUUUUAUGGCACUCUUUAAAAAUCCAUAUCCACCUUGUGUGCAAUGUUUGUUGGGAGAGAGGCAACUCUUUCCCUUCACAAAUAUCAACCUAUAUCUUUAACACACUCUGAAAUGUAAUGAUAAACUUAUA
rnacentral:misc_RNA from 1 species